GAUGAAGAACGCAGUGAAAUGCGAUACGUAAUGUGAAUUGCAAAUUCAGUGAAUCAUCGAGUCUUUGAACGCACAUUGCGCCCCCUGGUAUUCCGGGGGGCAUGCCUGUCCGAGCGUCAUUACUGCCCUCAAGCCCGGCUUGUGUGUUGGGCCCCGUCCUCCGAUCCCGGGGGACGGGCCCGAAAGGCAGCGGCGGCACCGCGUCCGGUCCUCGAGCGUAUGGGGCUUUGUCACCCGCUCUGUAGGCCCGGCCGGCGCUUGCCGAUCAACCCCAAUUUUUAUAGGUUGACCUCGGAUCAGGUAGGGAUACCCGCUGAACUUAAGCAUAUCAAAAGCGGAGGA
rnacentral:misc_RNA from 1 species